rnacentral:rRNA from 1 species
ACUCAUGACCAUACUAUCCUGAGUACACCUGAUCUCUUCCAAUCUUGCAAACCAAGCAGGACUGAGACUGGUUAGUAUUUGGCUGAGACCUGGAAAUACUCAGUGCUAUGAGCU